UACGUAGGGGGCAAGCGUUGUCCGGAUUCAUUGGGCGUAAAGAGCUCGUAGGCGGUUUGUCGCGUCUGCUGUGAAAACCUAAGGCUCAACCUUGGGCUUGCAGUGGGUACGGGCAGACUAGAGUGCGGUAGGGGUGACUGGAAUUCCUGGUGUAGCGGUGGAAUGCGCAGAUAUCAGGAGGAACACCGAUGGCGAAGGCAGGUCACUGGGCCGCAACUGACGCUGGAGGAGCG
rnacentral:rRNA from 1 species